AUGGCGAUCGGCGGCGUUGGCGCUGGGGGCGGGGCUGGGGGCGGCGAGGGGCAGGGGAGGAGCGUGCUGGUGACCGGCGGCGCGGGGUUCAUCGGCACGCACACCGUGCUGCAGCUGCUGGAGAAGGGCUACGCCGUCACCGCCGUCGACAACUUCCACAACUCCGUCCCCGAGGCGCUCGACCGCGUCCGCCACAUCGUCGGCCCCGCCCUCUCCGCCCGCCUCCAAUUCAUCUUCGGGGACCUGACGAUCAAGGAUGACCUGGAGAAGGUCUUCGCCGCCAAGAAGUACGACGCCGUGAUACACUUCGCCGGGCUCAAGGCGGUGGCGGAGAGCGUGGCGCACCCGGAGAUGUACAACCGCAACAACAUCGUCGGCACCGUCAACCUCUACGACGUCAUGAAGAAGCACGGGUGCAACAAGUUGGUGUUCUCGUCGUCGGCGACCGUGUACGGCCAGCCGGAGAAGGUGCCCUGCUUCGAGGACUCCCCCCUCAAGGCCCUCAACCCGUACGGCAGGACCAAGCUGUACCUGGAGGAGAUGCUGCGCGACUACCAGCACGCGAACCCGGAGUGGAGGACGAUCCUGCUGCGCUACUUCAACCCCAUCGGCGCACACGAGAGCGGCGACAUCGGGGAGGACCCCAAGGGCGUCCCCAACAACCUGCUCCCCUACAUCCAGCAGGUGGCCGUCGCCCGCCGCCCCGAGCUCAACGUCUACGGCCACGACUACCGCACCCGCGACGGCACCGCCGUCAGGGACUACAUCCACGUGGUCGACCUCGCCGACGGCCACAUCGCGGCGCUCGAGAAGCUCUUCGCCACCCCUGACAUCGGCUGUGUGGCGUACAACCUGGGGACGGGGCGCGGGACGACGGUGCUGGAGAUGGUGAGCGCGUUCGAGAAGGCAUACGGCAAGAAAAUCCCGGUGAAGAUGUGCCCCAGGAGGCCGGGCGAUUCGGAGCAGGUGUACGCGUCCACCGCCAAGGCCGAAGAGGAGCUCGGCUGGAGGGCCAAGUACGGGAUCGAGGAGAUGUGCAGGGACCAGUGGAACUGGGCCAAGAAGAACCCGUAUGGCUACUGCGGCAACGCUGCUGAGAACAAAGACUGA
rnacentral:rRNA from 1 species